CCUCGGGCCUCCGCGGGCGGCGUCAGAGUGAGUUUUGGGUUGAGGACCCCGUCUGAUUGGGCUUCUUGGGGUCGGUGGACCCCCUGAAAUAGUAUGAAAACCCCCUCCUUCGAGGACUAGGUGCAGGACUGGGCUUGGGAACCCAGCGUCGAGCAGGGUGAGCAAGGCCCGUCUUUCGUGGAAUUUACUUUCUUUUUUUUUUUUUUUUGGGACGAAGUCUAGCUCUUGUCCCCCAGACUGGAGUGCAGUGGCGCGAUCUUGGCUCACUGCAACCUCCGCCUCCUGGGUUAAAGCGAUUCUCCUGCCUCAGCCUCCCGAGUAGCUGGGAUUACAGGCGCCUGCCACCACGCCUGGCCAAUUUUUGUGUUUUUAGUAGAGACGGGGUUUCACCAUGUUGGCCAGGCUGGUCUCGAACUCCUGACCUCAGGUGAUCCGCCCACCUCGGCCUCCCGAAGUGCUGGGAUUACAGGCGUGAGCCACCGCGCUCAGCCCGUGGAAUUUACUUUAUAAUGGGGAGGCAGAUGAUCGAGAAAACGAGGUUUAUUUCCCUUAGAGAUCUGUGCUGUGUGGGCAGCAAAACGCUGAAAACCUCCGGGAAGAGGGACGGAGGGGAGCGGGAGCCUACGUGGGAAUGAGGAGCGGUCCAGGACUAUGAAGGGUGCCAAAAGAGUGAAUGAUUUGGCCGGGCGCGGUGGCUCAAGCCUGUAAUCCCAGCACUUCGGGAGGCCGAGGUGGGCAGAUCACAAGGUCAGGAGAUCGAGACCAUCCUGGCUAACACAGUGAAACCCUGUCUCUACUAAAAAUACAAAAAAAAAAAAAAAAUUUGCCUGGCAUGGUGGCGGGUGCUUGUAGUCCCAGCUACUCGGGAGGCUGAGGCAGGAGAAUGGCAUGAACCUGGGAGGCGGAGCUUGCAGUGAGCCGAGAUUGUGCUACUGCACUCCAGCCUGGGCAACAGAGCAAGACUCCAUCUCAAAAAAAUAAUAAUAAUAAAUAAAUAAAGAAG
rnacentral:lncRNA from 1 species